UUCACUGGCUUCAAGCUUUCUUUAGGGUCAUCUAUUGAAAAUAUAGGGAAGGGGGACACUUGGCUUAACAACUGUCUGUUUAAGAGGGACCCAGGAGUCCUAGCAGGCCACAAGCUGAGCCUGAGCCAAGAGUUGUGAUGCAGCAGCGAAAAAGGCCAAUGCGAUCCUAGGCUGCACUGAUAGAAGUAUAGUGUCUAGAAUGAAAGGUCGGCAAGGCCUUGUUGUUCCACGCUUUUCACAGCUGUUCGUCUCUUGGCUCUUCUGGGUCAGGCUGGUCCUGUGAAAACCAAAGAGAAAUGACUAAAGCCAUUCCCGCCGAUCUUGAUCAAGACACAUCAUGCAGGUGCCAGCCAUGAAGUUCAUAUAAGGCGAAGAUAAAGCGUAAGAGACCUUGAGAGGGUCAAAGGAGAAAACAACAAAGAGGGUCAGCAGAAAAGUCAGCGCAUAUGAAGAAGCCAAGGAGCAUCAAGUAAACAAGCAAACGGCUCCUCCAUGACGGGUGUGAAGUGUGUGGGCGAUCUGUUCUCAUUCUCGUCUUCUGCCCGUUGUUUUGGCCAGAGGCUUCACAACCUGGAGGCAACGGUGAGGAACGGAGACAACCUCAAAGACAAGAGCAAAGGACUGAGCCGAUCAUCGCUGCAUUUAUUUGUGGAUGCAAACAGGAUGAGGUUAGCCUGUCUUCUUCUUCAGGACGACAGAGAAGUUGACUUUUUCUGGAACAACUCAUUUUCACCUUCAAAUUGCUUACACAUCAUUUGGUUUAAUUUUGUGCAAAGAGAGAAGAGGAAAAAACUUUCUUCUAAAAAAAACCCCAAACCCAGAUAUAUGGUUUUAAAACUCUGCUGUGUCAAAGUUCCAGUUCAUCUAGUAAGACAAUAGUUUGCAACAAUU